UACAGAGGCCUCAAGCGUUAGGCGGAAUCACUGGGCUUAAAGCGUGUGUAGGCGGGUCGGUAAGUGCCUUGUGAAAUCCCCUGGCUCAACCAGGGAACUGCUUGGCAUACUGGCGAUCUUGAGCCACCUAGGGGCAACUGGAACAGACGGUGGAGCGGUGAAAUGCGUAGAUAUCGUCUGGAACGCCAAUGGUGAAGACAGGUUGCUGGGGGUGCGCUGACGCUGAGACACGAAAGCCAGGGGAGCAAACGGG
rnacentral:rRNA from 1 species